CAUGCAGUCGAACGGUGAAGCAGAGYUUGCUCUGUGGAUCAGUGGCGAACGGGUGAGUAACACGUGAGCAACCUGCCCUGGACUCUGGGAUAAGCGCUGGAAACGGCGUCUAAUACUGGAUAUGAGACGUGAUCGCAUGGUCAACGUUUGGAAAGAUUUUUCGGUCUGGGAUGGGCUCGCGGCCUAUCAGCUUGUUGGUGAGGUAAUGGCUCACCAAGGCGUCGACGGGUAGCCGGCCUGAGAGGGUGACCGGCCACACUGGGACUGAGACACGGCCCAGACUCCUACGGGAGGCAGCAGUGGGGAAUAUUGCACAAUGGGCGGAAGCCUGAUGCAGCAACGCCGCGUGAGGGAUGACGGCCUUCGGGUUGUAAACCUCUUUUAGCAGGGAAGAAGCGAAAGUGACGGUACCUGCAGAAAAAGCGCCGGCUAACUACGUGCCAGCAGCCGCGGUAAUACGUAGGGCGCAAGCGUUAUCCGGAAUUAUUGGGCGUAAAGAGCUCGUAGGCGGUUUGUCGCGUCUGCUGUGAAAUCCCGAGGCUCAACCUCGGGCCUGCAGUGGGUACGGGCAGACUAGAGUGCGGUAGGGGAGAUUGGAAUUCCUGGUGUAGCGGUGGAAUGCGCAGAUAUCAGGAGGAACACCGAUGGCGAAGGCAGAUCUCUGGGCCGUAACUGACGCUG
rnacentral:rRNA from 1 species